rnacentral:rRNA from 1 species
UUUCACACUGUCAAGAAAAGCUUCUAUCGAGUUUAAAGGCGCCCGUACCGUAAACCGACACAGGUGGGUGAGGAGAGUAUCCUAAGGCCAGCGAGAGAACUAUUGUUAAGGAACUCGGCAAAAUGACCCCGUAACUUAGGGAGAAGGGGUGCCUGUCUAUGACAGGCCGCAGAGAAUAGGCCCAAGCGACUGUUUACCAAAAACACAGGUUUCUGCUAAGUCGCAAGACGAUGUAUAGGAGCUGACGCCUGCCCGGUGCUGGAAGGUUAAGGGGAUCUGUUAGAGCAAUCGAAGCAGUGAACUUAAGCCCCAGUAAACGGCGGCCGUAACCAUAACGGUCCUAAGGUAGCGAAAUUCCUUGUCGGGUAAGUUCCGACCCGCACGAAAGGCGUAACGAUUUGGGCACUGUCUCAACAAUAGACUCGGUGAAAUUGUAAUCCCGGUGAAGAUGCCGGGUACCUGCGACAGGACGGAAAGACCCCAUGGAGCUUUACUGUAGCUUGACGUUGGGUCUUGGUACUACAUGUACAGGAUAGGUGGGAGACUAUGAAGCAUGGACGCCAGUCUGUGUGGAGUCAUCCUUGGGAUACCACCCUUGUAGUACUGGGAUCCUAACCAUAGGCCUUGAAUCAGGUCUUGGAACACCGUCAGGUGGGCAGUUUGACUGGGGCGGUCGCCUCCUAAAAAGUAACGGAGGCGCUCAAAGGUUUCCUCAGCACGGUCGGAAAUCGUGCGAAGAGUGUAAAGGCAAAAGGAAGCUUGAUUGCAAGACAUACAGGUCGAGCAAGGACGAAAGUCGGACUUAGUGAUCCGGUGGUACCGCAUGGAAGGGCCAUCGCUCAACGGAUAAAAGCUACCCUGGGGAUAACAGGCUUAUCUCCCCCAAGAGUCCACAUCGACGGGGAGGUUUGGCACCUCGAUGUCGGCUCAUCACAUCCUGGGGCUGUAGUAGGUCCCAAGGGUUGGGCUGUUCGCCCAUUAAAGUGGUACGCGAGCUGGGUUCAGAACGUCGUGAGACAGUUCGGUCCCUAUCCGUCGCAGGCGUAGGAAAUUUGAGAAGACCUGUCCUUAGUACGAGAGGACCGGGAUGGACGUACCUCUGGUGUACCAGUUGUUCUGCCAAGGGCAUGGCUGGGUAGCUAUGUACGGAAUGGAUAGGCGCUGAAAGCAUCUAAGCGCGAAGCCAACUUCAAGACAAGAUUUCCCACCGUAAGGGUAAGACCCCAGGAAGACUACCUGGUUGAUAGGUCGAAGGUGUAAGUGCAGUAAUGUAUUUAGCUUAUCGAUACUAAUAGGUCGAGGACUUGACCU